rnacentral:rRNA from 1 species
GAUUAACGCUGGCGGCGUGCCUAACACAUGCAAGUCGAACGAGGUAGCAAUACCUAGUGGCAGACGGGUGAGUAACGCGUGGUCAACCUACCGUUGAGUGGGGGAUAACUAGCCGAAAGGUUAGCUAAUACCGCAUACGUCUCCGAGUGGCAUCACUUGGCGAUAAAAGGAAGCAAUCCGCUCGAUGACGGGACCGCGUCCCAUUAGCUAGAUGGUGGGGUAACGGCCUACCAUGGCACCGAUGGGUUAGCUGGUUUGUAGAGAGCGACCAGCCACACUGGGACUGAGAAACGGCCCAGACUCCUACGGGAGGCAGCAGUGAGGAAUUUUCCGCAAUGGGC